UACAGAGGUCCCAAGCGUUGUUCGGAUUCACUGGGCGUAAAGGGUGCGUAGGUGGCGGGUAAGUUUGAUGUGAAAUCUCCGGGCUCAACCCGGAAAUGGCAUUGAAUACUACUCUGCUGGAGGUUGGAGGGGACUGGAAUUCUCGGUGUAGCAGUGAAAUGCGUAGAUAUCGAGAGGAACACCAGUGGCGAAGGCGAGUCCCUGGACAACACCUGACACUGAGGCACGAAGCUAGGGAGCAACAGG
rnacentral:rRNA from 1 species